rnacentral:rRNA from 1 species
CAGAGUUUGACCUGGCUCAGGAUGAACGCUAGCUACAGGCUUAACACAUGCAAGUCGAGGGGCAGCAUGUUGGUUGCUUGCAACCAAUGAUGGCGACCGGCGCACGGGUGAGUAACGCGUAUCCAACCUACCCUUGUCCAUCGGAUAACCCGUCGAAAGGCGGCCUAACACGAUAUGCGGUUCACAGCAGGCAUCUAAGGUGAACGAAAUGUGAAGGAGAAGGAUGGGGAUGCGUCUGAUUAGCUUGUUGGCGGGGUAACGCCACAAGGCUACGAUCAGUAGGGGUUCUGAGAGGAAGGUCCCCCANAUUGGAACUGAGACACGGUCCAAACUCUACGGGAGCA